rnacentral:rRNA from 1 species
UACGGAGGGGGCGAGCGUUGUUCGGAGUGACUGGGCGUAAAGAGCACGUAGGCGGUGUUGUAAGUCAUUAGUCAAAGACUAGAGCUCAACUUUAGUAAGGCUAGUGAUACUAUAAUACUAGAGUAUCAGAGAGGAUUGCAGAAUUCCUGGUGUAGCGGUGAAAUGCGUAGAUAUCAGGAGGAAUACCGUUAGCGAAGGCGGCAAUCUGGCUGGAAACUGACGCUGAGGUGCGAAAGCGUGGGGAGCAAACAGG